rnacentral:rRNA from 1 species
UACGUAGGGUGCAAGCGUUGUCCGGAAUUAUUGGGCGUAAAGAGCUCGUAGGCGGUUUGUUGCGUCGGCUGUGAAAACCUGAGGCUCAACCUCAGGCCUGCAGUCGAUACGAGCAGACUAGAGUGUUGCAGGGGAGACUGGAAUUCCUGGUGUAGCGGUGAAAUGCGCAGAUAUCAGGAGGAACACCGGUGGCGAAGGCAGGUCUCUGGGCAACAACUGACGCUGAGGAGCGAAAGCGUGGGGAGCAAACAGG